CUCUACCACCGCCACCCACCCUCAGCUAUUACUCUUCACCCAACAAACCACGGAAAGAAAGAAACAAAGGAAAAGGAAGCUGGAACAAGAAAAAGGGAGAAGGGGAAGAGAGAAGGGGGAGAUCCGUGAGGAAGGAAGAGCGCCGGGGAGGAGGAGCUUGCCGCUGCCAUGGCGUUCUGCUGCUCAUGCCGCUGCCAUCAUCCAGGGAGCUGCCAUUCCUGGUCAUCGUCGUCGAGCCCAUCAACCCCGUCGCCGCCGUUUGUCCUCACUGCGGCCAGCUGUGCCGUCGUGAAAGAAAGAUGCGACGGAGAAAGAGAGGGUCCACGGAGGGUUGCCGCCGUUCGCACCGUCAGCUUCAGGUCCGCGGAGGGUCGCCGCCGUUCACACCAUCAACUUCACGCAGAGCAACCAUGGCCGUCGAGGGUCCAUCCACGCCGUUGUUGAAGCUUAAACGCUGCUACAACCACUGCGAGUCAUCGUCUUCAGAUCUGCCAUAUUGGAGCGGAGCUCGGCCGUCCUCACUGCGGGAGUUUAUUACCGGAGGAGGAGAGGUGACGGUGGUGGAAGUUGCCGCCACUAUUCUGCCCUACUCACUGAACAGCACCAGAAAAUCACAGCUGCCGCUGCUAGAGGAUGCCCCUACAGUUGCUAAACCCCAUCCCACUCCAAUUUGGGUUCCGGCUCUGGUUCAUUUAUGCCAGGUUUUGUUCUCCUGAGUGUCGGAGCCGCCAUCUUCUUGGUUACUGCUGAACCAUCAGAGCUUUCGGCUGCUAUCGGAGCUGCUGUCCGGUCAAUUUGGAAGUUGCUAUUGUAUCGUUCUAUUCUGUUUAUCGUGAUAUGUGGUUGAUAGAAUUUUUGCGGUUGCUGCCGAUUAACAUGAGAAUAAGGAUUUAAUGGGUUUAAUUAUGCAACUUGCGACUAAUCAAGGAUAUGGGCGACGGAGCUUUAGAAGAGUUAUAUUCAUUUUCUAUUUAUUCGAUGUUAUUUUAUAUUAUCUUAGUUUUUACUUUUUCCUCGUCUUUAUUUCUAGCAAUUUUUACAAGAGGGAUAUGAGUUUUGAUAUGUGAAGUUUGUAUAUUGCUAUGAUGUGUAUAUAUUUAUGUAUUAUUUGUAAGAAUUGUAAUCAGUA